CCUACGGGUGGCAGCAGUGGGGAAUAUUGGACAAUGGGCGAAAGCCUGAUCCAGCCAUGCCGCGUGUGUGAAGAAGGCCUUCGGGUUGUAAAGCACUUUCAGUGGGGAAGAAAGCCUUGGGGCUAAUACCCUCGAGGAAGGACAUCACCCACAGAAGAAGCACCGGCUAACUCCGUGCCAGCAGCCGCGGUAAUACGGAGGGUGCGAGCGUUAAUCGGAAUUACUGGGCGUAAAGCGCGCGUAGGCGGUCUGAUAAGCCGGUUGUGAAAGCCCCGGGCUCAACCUGGGAACGGCAUCCGGAACUGUCAGGCUAGAGUGCAGGAGAGGAAGGUAGAAUUCCCGGUGUAGCAGGGAAAUGCGUAGAGAGCGGGAGGAAUACCAGUGGCGAAGGCGGCCUUCUGGACUGACACUGACGCUGAGGUGCGAAAGCGUGGGUAGCAAACAGGAUUAGAUACCCGGGUAGUC
rnacentral:rRNA from 1 species